rnacentral:rRNA from 1 species
GAAACAUCUUAGUACCCGGAGGAAGAGAAAGAAAAUUCGAUUCCCUUAGUAGCGGCGAGCGAAACGGGAAGAGCCCAAACCAACAAGCUUGCUUGUUGGGGUUGUAGGACACUCUAUACGGAGUUACAAAGGACGACAUUAGACGAAUCAUCUGGAAAGAUGAAUCAAAGAAGGUAAUAAUCCUGUAGUCGAAAAUGUUGUCUCUCUUGAGUGGAUCCUGAGUACGACGGAGCACGUGAAAUUCCGUCGGAAUCUGGGAGGACCAUCUCCUAAGGCUAAAUACUCUCUAGUGACCGAUAGUGAACCAGUACCGUGAGGGAAAGGUGAAAAGCACCCCGGAAGGGGAGUGAAAUAGAACCUGAAACCGUGUGCUUACAAGUAGUCAGAGCCCGUUAAUGGGUGAUGGCGUGCCUUUUGUAGAAUGAACCGGCGAGUUACGAUUUGAUGCAAGGUUAAGCAGUAAAUGUGGAGCCGUAGCGAAAGCGAGUCUGAAUAGGGCGUUUAGUAUUUGGUCGUAGACCCGAAACCAGGUGAUCUACCCUUGGUCAGGUUGAAGUUCAGGUAACACUGAAUGGAGGACCGAACCGACUUACGUUGAAAAGUGAGCGGAUGAACUGAGGGUAGCGGAGAAAUUCCAAUCGAACCUGGAGAUAGCUGGUUCUCUCCGAAAUAGCUUUAGGGCUAGCCUCAAGUGAUGAUUAUUGGAGGUAGAGCACUGUUUGGACGAGGGGCCCCUCUCGGGUUACCGAAUUCAGACAAACUCCGAAUGCCAAUUAAUUUAACUUGGGAGUCAGAACAUGGGUGAUAAGGUCCGUGUUCGAAAGGGAAACAGCCCAGACCACCAGCUAAGGUCCCAAAAUAUAUGUUAAGUGGAAAAGGAUGUGGCGUUGCCCAGACAACUAGGAUGUUGGCUUAGAAGCAGCCAUCAUUUAAAGAGUGCGUAAUAGCUCACUAGUCGAGUGACACUGCGCCGAAAAUGUACCGGGGCUAAACAUAUUACCGAAGCUGUGGAUUGUCCUUUGGACAAUGGUAGGAGAGCGUUCUAAGGGCGUUGAAGCAUGAUCGUAAGGACAUGUGGAGCGCUUAGAAGUGAGAAUGCCGGUGUGAGUAGCGAAAGACGGGUGAGAAUCCCGUCCACCGAUUGACUAAGGUUUCCAGAGGAAGGCUCGUCCGCUCUGGGUUAGUCGGGUCCUAAGCUGAGGCCGACAGGCGUAGGCGAUGGAUAACAGGUUGAUAUUCCUGUACCACCUAUAAUCG